UUUUUAGUAGAGACAACCAUUUUUCUCAUGAACAGCCUUCAUCUUUGUGUUGGCAGUCACCUGCAUCUUGCAGAUUCUUUAUGUUGAGUAUGGAUGCAGAAGAUAUUUGCAACUAUAAUGUAUUUUCCCACUUGGUCACUUUUGGUUCCAAUUUGGCAGGGCAGUGGCUCAAGUAAUUUGCUCAUUGAUUCACAUCUCUCCUUAUCUAGCAGACAAUCUAAUGCUUAGGUUGGCUCUAGCAGAUGUACAGGCCAUUUAAAUAAACAGCAGGAGAAUUUCUUCAGCCAUCUUUUUGUGAACACUGCUGUCAACGAAUACAAAUACUGUGAGGUUUUAUUUUAUCAUUAUUAUUUUUUUAUUCUGAUGCUUUAUUUAUUGUCUUAUUAAAAUAUUUGCCAGUUUGGUAGAGUCAGUGUAACAUGGGACUGUUUUACAACUUACACUUUUGUAAUGGAGAAAAGCCUAGAACUUCUCAAAGGGAUGUGUAUAACCUUCAGCAAGGUUUUGAAAUCAAUGGUGAUGCCUUGUGAAUGUAUCUUACUACAGUUAAGGCUCUUGGGAUGUUGUACAGAGCUGGUGAUGGCCAUCUGUGCACACGUAGAAUGUGCAUGCAUUAAAUACUGUUUUUUACUGGUUAAUAUCUAGAGCUAAGCCUAGAAUUAGGUACUGCUCUUGGCUCGUACUUUUAGUGUGAUCCUUUGUUGAGCUCCAAACCUGUUGGAAAUGACUUAUAUUCUAAUUUCCUGGAGAAGAUACCCAAGCCAGAGUGUAUGGUGUUCCUGAAGUUACGUUAAACAGCUGAAGUCUGAUCAAAAUUUUUCAAACUAGGUGAUCAGCAUAUCUUUACUUCUGAACCAGUCAUGGGCCAAAGGAAUCUCUUACACAUCUGAUGUUGAGAAGUCCUUAGACAAGGUGAGCAUACUUUGGAAGAGAAGGCCUCUUAGUCUUUUAUUAUGCUGUCUCCAGAUAUGAAAAUCUUCAGUUGGAGUUGAUGACAUCAGUUCGAUGGUUCCUUGUUAAAUAAUCCAGUUUCUAUGUAUAAAUGCUUGGAAAAAGAGUAUCUGGAAUUUAUCAGUUUUCAAAUAGAUAGAUGCCUGUAUGUAUACUAUGUAGGUCUGUGACAAAAUAUAUUAGAAUUUGGUACUAAACUGUAUUACCUUAUAGACCUGUAGCUAUCAUUUGUGUUCAAACACUUUUGAGUUAUGCUUCAGAUAGAAGAGUAAUAUUACCUUUGAAACAGCAGCCUGACUGGACUAGCAUAUGGACAUUUUCCCCUUACUCUGUUAGAUUCUAUAGGAAUGUGGUUAGCUAUGUUCAAAAUGUAAUUUCACAAUAAAUUGUCUUCACCUAAAUGAAA